AUCCUAGGGAUAGCUCUUUUCAAGUAGAGCAUGAGACUCUCAAUUCUUAAGGCUGUGGGUUCGAGUCUCACCUAGGGGA